UGGGCCCGCGUCUGAUUAGUUAGUUGGCAGGGUAACGGCCUACCAAGACAACGAUCAGUAGCCGGCUUGAGAGAGUGGACGGCCACAUUGGGACUGAGACACGGCCCAAACUCCUACGGGAGGCAGCAGUGGGGAAUAUUGCACAAUGGGGGGAACCCUGAUGCAGCAACGCCGCGUGAGUGAAGAAGUAUUUCGGUAUGUAAAGCUCUAUCAGCAGGGAGGAAAAUGACGGUACCUGACUAAGAAGCUCCGGCUAAAUACGUGCCAGCAGCCGCGGUAAUACGUAUGGAGCAAGCGUUAUCCGGAUUUACUGGGUGUAAAGGGAGCGCAGGCGGUACGGCAAGUCCGAUGUGAAAGCCCGGGGCUCAACCCCGGGACUGCAUUGGAAACUGCCGCACUAGAGUGCCGGAGAGGUAAGUGGAAUUCCUAGUGUAGCGGUGAAAUGCGUAGAUAUU
rnacentral:rRNA from 1 species